rnacentral:rRNA from 1 species
AUUUUCCGCAAUGGGCGAAAGCCUGACCCAGCCACGCCGCGUGAGUGAUGAAGGCCUUCGGGUCGUAAAGCUCUGUGGGGAGGGACGAACAAACUAGGAGCUAAUCAACCCGGUCCUGACGGUACCUCCUUAGCAAGCACCGGCUAACCCUGUGCCAGCAGCCGCGGUAAUACAGGGGGUGCAAACGUUGCUCGGAAUUAUUGGGCGUAAAGCGCGCGUAGGCGGCCACUUAAGUCGGAUGUGAAAGCCCCUGGCUCAACUGGGGAAGUGCACCCGAAACUGAAUGGCUUGAAUGCAAAAGAGGGUCGCGGAAUUCCCGGUGUAGAGGUGAAAUUCGUAGAUAUCGGGAGGAACACCGGUGGCGAAGGCGGCGACCUGGGUUGACAUUGACGCUGAGGCGCGAAAGCGUGGGGAGCAAAC